rnacentral:rRNA from 1 species
CCUACGGGACGCAGCAGUGAGGAAUAUUGGUCAAUGGGCGGGAGCCUGAACCAGCCAAGUCGCGUGAGGGACGACGGUCCUAUGGAUUGUAAACCUCUUUUGUCGGGGAACAAAGGCGCCCACGGGUGGGCGGAUGAGUGUACCCGAAGAAAAAGCAUCGGCUAACUCCGUGCCAGCAGCCGCGGUAAUACGGAGGGGGCAAGCGUUGUUCGGAAUGACUGGGCGUAAAGGGUGUGUAGGCGGUUUAGCAAGUUAGAAGUGAAAUACCUAGAGCUUAACUCAGGUGCUGCUUCUAAAACUGCUAG